CCUACGGGAGGCAGCAGUGAGGAAUAUUGGUCAAUGGACGAGAGUCUGAACCAGCCAAGUAGCGUGAAGGAUGACUGCCCUAUGGGUUGUAAACUUCUUUUAUAUGGGAAUAAAACAGGGUAUGCAUACCCUCUUGUAUGUACCAUAUGAAUAAGGAUCGGCUAACUCCGUGCCAGCAGCCGCGGUAAUACGGAGGAUCCGAGCGUUAUCCGGAUUUAUUGGGGUUAAAGGGAGCGUAGGUGGAUUGUUAAGUCAGUUGUGAAAGUUGGCGGCGCAACCGUAAAAUUGCAGUUGAAACGGGCAGUCGUGAGUACAGUAGAGGUGGGCGGAAUUCGUGGUGUAGCGGUGAAAUGCUUAGAUAUCACGAAGAACUCCGAUUGCGAAGGCAGCUCACUGGACUGCAACUGACACUGAGGCUCGAAAGUGUGGGUAUCAAACAGGAUUAGAUACCCCAGUAGUG
rnacentral:rRNA from 1 species